rnacentral:rRNA from 1 species
UACGAAGGGGGCUAGCGUUGUUCGGAAUUACUGGGCGUAAAGGGCGCGUAGGCGGUGUGUCAAGUCAGGCGUGAAAGCCCCGGGCUCAACCUGGGAACCGCGCUUGAGACUGGCACGCUCGAGUUUGGGAGAGGAUGGUGGAAUUCCCAGUGUAGAGGUGAAAUUCGUAGAUAUUGGGAAGAACACCGAUGGCGAAGGCAGCCAUCUGGACCGACACUGACGCUGAGGUGCGAAAGCUAGGGGAGCAAACGGG